rnacentral:rRNA from 1 species
GAUGAACGCUAGCUACAGGCUUAACACAUGCAAGUCGAGGGGCAGCAUGAAUAUUGGCUUGCCAAUAUUUGAUGGCGACCGGCGCACGGGUGAGUAACACGUAUCCAACCUUCCGGUUACUCGGGGAUAGGCUUUCGAAAGAAAGAUUAAUACCCGAUGUUGCGUAUCUUUCUCCUGAAAGAUACGCCAAAGGAUUCCGGUAACCGAUGGGGAUGCGUUCCAUUAGGCAGUUGGCGGGGUAACGGCCCACCAAACCUUCGAUGGAUAGGGGUUCUGAGAGGAAGGUCCCCCACAUUGGAACUGAGACACGGUCCAAACUCCUACGGGAGGCAGCAGUGAGGAAUAUUGGUCAAUGGACGGAAGUCUGAACCAGCCAAGUAGCGUGAAGGAUGACUGCCCUCUGGGUUGUAAACUUCUUUUAUACGGGAAUAACAUGAGGUACGCGUACCUUAUUGCAUGUACCGUUAUGAAUAAGCAUCGGCUAACUCCGUGCCAGCAGCCGCGGUAAUACGGAGGAUGCGAGCGUUAUCCGGAUUUAUUGGGUUUAAAGGGAGCGUAGGUGGGAUAUUAAGUCAGCUGUGAAAGUUUGGGGCUCAACCUUAAAAUUGCAGUUGAUACUGGUUUCCUUGAGUACGGUACAGGU